GAUGAAGAACGUAGCAAAAUGCGAUAAGUAAUGUGAAUUGCAGAAUUCAGCGAAUCAUCGAAUCUUUGAACGCACAUUGCGCCCGCUGGUAUUCCGGCGGGCAUGCCUGUUCGAGCGUCAUUUCAACCCUCAAGCCCCCGGGUUUGGUGUUGGGGAUCGGCUCUGCCCUUCUGGGCGGUGCCGCCCCCGAAAUACAUUGGCGGUCUCGCUGCAGCCUCCAUUGCGUAGUAGCUAACACCUCGCAACUGGAACGCGGCGCGGCCAUGCCGUAAAACCCCAACUUCUGAAUGUUGACCUCGGAUCAGGUAGGAAUACCCGCUGAACUUAAGCAUAUCAAUAAGCGGAGGA
rnacentral:misc_RNA from 1 species